rnacentral:rRNA from 1 species
CACGUAGGGCGCAAGCGUUGUCCGGAAUUAUUGGGCGUAAAGAGCUCGUAGGUGGUUUGUUACGUCUGCUGUGAAAACCUAGGGCUUAACCCUGGGCUUGCAGUGGAUACGGGCAGACUAGAGGUAGGUAGGGGAGAAUGGAAUUCCUGGUGUAGCGGUGAAAUGCGCAGAUAUCAGGAGGAACACCGGUGGCGAAGGCGGUUCUCUGGGCCUUACCUGACACUGAGGAGCGAAAAGCGUGGGGGAGCGAACAGG